rnacentral:rRNA from 1 species
AGUAACGCGUGAGCAACCUGCCUUAAGGAGGGGGAUAACACAGGGAAACCUGUGCUAAUACCGCAUAAUAUAUAUUUACCGCAUGGUAGAUAUAUCAAAACUCCGGUGCCUUAAGAUGGGCUCGCGUCCAAUUAGCUAGUUGGAGGGGUAACGGCCCACCAAGGCAACGAUUGGUAGCCGGACUGAGAGGUUGAACGGCCACAUUGGAACUGAGAAACGGUCCAGACUCCUACGGGAGGCAGCAGUGGGGGAUAUUGCGCAAUGGGGGAAACCCUGACGCAGCAACGCCGCGUGAAGGAAGAAGGCCUUCGGGUUGUAAACUUUUGUCUUUUGGGAAGAAGAAUGACGGUACCAAAGGAGGAAGCCACGGCUAACUACGUGCCAGCAGCCGCGGUAAUACGUAGGUGGCGAGCGUUGUCCGGAAUUACUGGGUGUAAAGGGCGUGUAGGCGGGCAGAUAAGUCAGAUGUGAAAUACCGGGGCUCAACCCCGGGGCUGCAUUUGAAACUGUAUGUCUUGAGUGCCGGAGAGGAAAGCGGAAUUCCUAGUGUAGCGGUGAAAUGCGUAGAUAUUAGGAGGAACACCAGUGGCGAAGGCGGCUUUCUGGACGGUAACUGACGCUGAGGCGCGAAAGCGUGGGGAGCAAACAGGAUUAGAUACCCUGGUAGUCCACGCUGUAAACGAUGAAUACUAGGUGUAGGGGGGUAUCGACUCCCCCUGUGCCGCAGUCAACACAAUAAGUAUUCCACCUGGGGAGUACGACCGCAAGGUUGAAACUCAAAGGAAUUGACGGGGACCCGC